UGCGAAGGGGGCUAGCGUUGCUCGGAAUUACUGGGCGUAAAGCGCACGUAGGCGGCUUCUUAAGUCGGUGGUGAAAUCCUGGAGCUCAACUCCAGAACUGCCUUCGAUACUGGGAAGCUCGAGUCCGGGAGAGGUGAGUGGAACUGCGAGUGUAGAGGUGAAAUUCGUAGAUAUUCGCAAGAACACCAGUGGCGAAGGCGGCUCACUGGCCCGAUACUGACGCUGAGGCACGAAAGCGUGGGGAGCAAACAGG
rnacentral:rRNA from 1 species